AGAGUUUGAUCAUGGCUCAGAACGAACGCUGGCGGCAGGCCUAACACAUGCAAGUCGAACGAGAAGCCACCUUCGGGUGGUGGACAGUGGCAGACGGGUGAGUAACGCGUGGGAACGUGCCUUUCGGUUCGGGAUAACCCAGGGAAACUUGGGCUAAUACCGGAUACGCCCUUCGGGGGAAAGAUUCAUCGCCGAAAGAUCGGCCCGCGUCGGAUUAGCUUGUUGGUGGGGUAAUGGCCUACCAAGGCGACGAUCCGUAGCUGGUCUGAGAGGAUGACCAGCCACACUGGGACUGAGACACGGCCCAGACUCCUACGGGAGGCAGCAGUGGGGAAUAUUGGACAAUGGGCGCAAGCCUGAUCCAGCCAUGCCGCGUGGGUGAAGAAGGCCUUAGGGUUGUAAACCCCUUUCAGCGGGGAAGAUAAUGACGGUACCCGCAGAAGAAGCCCCGGCUAACUCCGUGCCAGCAGCCGCGGUAAUACGGAGGGGGCUAGCGUUGUUCGGAAUUACUGGGCGUAAAGCGCGCGUAGGCGGACCUGCAAGUCAGGGGUGAAAUCCCGAGGCUCAACCUCGGAACUGCCUUUGAUACUGCGGGUCUCGAGUCCGGGAGAGGUGAGUGGAAUUCCUAGUGUAGAGGUGAAAUUCGUAGAUAUUAGGAAGAACACCAGUGGCGAAGGCGGCUCACUGGCCCGGUACUGACGCUGAGGCGCGAAAGCGUGGGGAGCAAACAGGAUUAGAUACCCUAGUAGUCC
rnacentral:rRNA from 1 species